AUGACUUUUUUGCUAUAAUGAACCCCGCCUACACCAUGCGGGGAGGGGAACUGUGAUGAUGAUACUUGGGGUACAGUUCAGAACAGCUUGGGACGGUUCUCAAGCCAAAUCCCCCCCGCAGCUAGGUAAGAGAUUAAGAUGAGGGUGGUGAUGGGGUGGAGGCGGGUGCGAGGUCGAAAGUCACGUAGGUGAGGAGCACCUGGGAGGUAUAUAUAUAGGACCAGGGGGAGGAGCUAGGGAACUUGAGGCGUGGUUCAUAUCCCAAAACUCUGUUAAUUCUUAACAACACUUA